rnacentral:rRNA from 1 species
GAUGAACGCUGGCGGCGUGCUUAAUACAUGCAAGUCGAGCGAACAGACGAUGCUCUUGCUCCUCUGACGUUAGCGGCGGACGUGUGAGUAACACGUGUAUAACCUACCUAUAUGACUGGUAUAACUUCGGGAAACCGGCUCUAAUACCGUAUAAUAUCUUGCACCGCAUGGUUCAAUAGUGAAAUACGGUUUUUCUGUCACUUAUCGAUGGAUCUGGGCUGCAUUAGAUAGUUGUUAAGUUAACGGCUUACCAAGGCGACGAUGCGUAGCCGAACUGAGAGGGGGGUAGGCAGCCUGGGAAGUGAAACACGGACCAGAGUACUAAGGGAGGCAGCAGAAGGGAAUGGGACGCAAUGGGGGAAAGCCUGACGGAGCAACGGGGCGUGAGUGAUGAAGGUCUUCGGAUCGUGAAAAUCGGUUAUUAGGGAAGAACAAAUGUGGAAGUAAAUAUGCACGUAUUGACGGUACCUAAUAAGAAAGCAACGGCUAACUACGUG